UACGUAGGGUGCAAGCGUUGUCCGGAAUUAUUGGGCGUAAAGAGCUCGUAGGCGGUCUGUCGCGUCUGCUGUGAAAACUCGGGGCUUAACCCCGGGCCUGCAGUGGGUACGGGCAGACUAGAGUGCGGUAGGGGAGACUGGAAUUCCUGGUGGAGCGGUGAAAUGCGCAGAUAUCAGGAGGAACACCCGUAGCGAAGGCGGCACUCUGGGCCGAUACUGACACUGAGGAGCGAAAGCGUGGGGAGCGAACAGG
rnacentral:rRNA from 1 species